AACCAUAGUGGGGGCAAAAGGCUUGCAAUUCGUUAUACCUUUCACAGGCUUUAUAUAAGGUUUUACUAUCCUUUUGGGCAAAUGAAGAGAUUUGCUUCUUAAGGGU
rnacentral:snoRNA from 1 species